rnacentral:rRNA from 1 species
AAUACGACUCUCGGCAAUGGAUAUCUCGGCUCUCGCAUCGAUGAAGAGCGCAGCGAAAUGCGAUAUAUGGUGCGAAUUGCAGAAUCCCGUGAAC